UGAGAACCACCACUCUAUGAAGCUGGCCA
rnacentral:piRNA from 1 species